UACAGAGGGUGCGAGCGUUAAUCGGAAUUACUGGGCGUAAAGCGUGCGUAGGCGGUUAUUUAAGUCGGAUGUGAAAGCCCCGGGCUCAACCUGGGAAUUGCAUUCGAGACUGAAUAGCUAGGGUGCGGUAGAGGGAAGCGGAAUUUCCGGUGUAGCGGUGAAAUGCGUAGAUAUCGGAAGGAACAUCAGUGGCGAAAGCGGCUGCCUGGACCAGCACCGACGUUCAGGCACGAAAGCGUGGGGAGCAAACAGG
rnacentral:rRNA from 1 species